UGGUUAACCUCAGAGCCGGAUGACCCGGAUUCAGAUCCUACCUCAGACACUUACCGGACUUUGUAGUCCUGAGUAAUCCUCUUUCUGGGAUUCAGUUUCUUCAUUUGUCAAAGCAAGAGGUUGGACUUGGUGACCUCUAGUCUCCUUCAACUUAGAAUACAUGCUUUUAAGCUCUUUCUCGGAAUGGUGGGAUUCAGACGGCCCUCGAGACAGCGGGAGGAGUAGGCUCAGGGCCCUCCGGCCACGGCUUCCCCCUCAUUCCUUACCAGAGCCCUCUGUUUUGGGGCCGAGUUCUGUCUGGCCCAUGGGAGAAGCAUUUCUGCCAUUCUUGAAGAUCCCUAGUUCCCUCAUCUGUAAAAUGGGCUCUUCCGUCCAUCCCAGCUAUGAUCACUGCCCACUCUGUGACCCUAUGGGCCAGAUUAUUUUUUAAAAGGAGGACCCUGAGGCAGAGAGGAAGGCGCUCAAGGCCCAGAGGGUCACCGCAUCUGCCUGUAUGAUUUUGGCCAAGUCACGUCGGCUUCCCGGCCCUCGGUCACCUUUUCUGUCAGAGGAGGAGGGUCGGCGCAGUGGCCUCCGAAGCCCCUUUGUGCCCGGGCUGAUGUCAGCGGGCACACUUGGCAUUCUGAGGCCACGUAAUCUGUCUCCUCCGAGAGCCACCAUUUUCCAGCUUCACGGCUUUCCCGUGUCACAGCUGCCUGGAAUUGAAAAGCUUUCCAUCUCCAGGGAAAUCUAAGCUGUGGCCCAGGAGCGGGUGGGCACAGAGCCAGGGCGAAUGUCUCUGUAGCGUCGGCUUGCAAGAGGCCCCGGGGGGGAGGGCAGAGCCAGCUGGUGCCCAAGGUGGCUCCUGCCUGGGAAUGAGCAGAUAGGACUUGGGGAAAGAUGCCGUGCAAAACCAUGUACCCAUAAGUCUCCCUUUGACACAGCGCCAAGAAAUAGGGUCCUGGAAACGGGCCCGGAAGGAAAACCGAGUAAGUGGUGGAGUCAGCGGGAUUUGAACCUGGUUCUCUGAUAAGCGGUUGUGUUUUGCCACUGUACUGCCCCAUGUCUCUGACUGGAAAGUGUUCCGGCUCCUUCCUGCCAGCUGGGGGAGGCGGCUGGGUACCGUGGGCAGACUCUGGGCAGGGAGAAAGGGGAUGAGCUGGAACAGGUGACCCUGGCACUCCCAUCCACCACCUGGCAGGCCCAUGGGUCUCCUCCUCCUUCUCCUCCUCCUGGAGCUUCUCUUUUGCAGCACUUAUUUCUUUGCCAAGAAUCAGUCUUCCUGGCUGUCCAGGGUCCCCAGACUGUCGGGGCCCUGGCUCCUGGGCGGCGCAUCCCGACGGCUCCCGGACCCCCUUGGGACUCUGCCCGGCAGCCAGCGGCCCAGCAGCCUCGGAGCCCGACUCCCAGGAGUCCUCGCGGGCCGCUCUGCCCUCCCCGGACCCAGAGCCGCGUUCCAGGCUGGCGUUGGGUCAGCCUGGACGGCGGGGGAUGGAAAGCCGGCUCGGAGCCUCUCGGGGGAGGGUUGUGCUGCGGUGGGCCCAGAGCUGGCUUUGUCUUGUGCCCUGCCCAGUGGGGGGAAGGAAGGACCAGAAGCUGCACAGAGGUAUAAGUGAGCAGGCACCGGCCCUAAUUGGAACCACUUCCUCUUUCUAGAGUGCCUUGAGGAUGUUUUGUUAGGAACAUCUAUAGCUGGGGGUGGGGACGGUCAUAGCUGUUCCAAACUAGUGGUUCUCGAGCUUUGGGAAGCAUACACCCACAGAUCCGCUUUUGUUAAAAACUAAUUUUUGUGUUUUUUUGUUUUUAUAAGACCUAGAUUUCUCCCCUCCCCUUCCCCUCACUACCCUUCCCUCUACCCACAGAGCUGCCCCAUCUAACAAAGAAAAAGAAAAAAAAAUCAGCAAACUGGAAAAAAGGGGGACAAUAUGGGCAGUGUUCUGCUAGGCAGUGAGGUGAUGACGCAGUGCAUAGAACCAGGCCUGAAGUCAGGAAGACCUGAAUUCAAAUCGGAGACACGUACUAGCGGUGUGACCUUGGGUACUUAACCUCUGCCCGCCUCAGUUUCCUCAUCUGUAAAAUGGGGGUCAUAAUGGCACUUACCUCUCAGGGGUGUUGUGAGGGUCUAAUGAGUUGAAAAUUGUAAAGCAUUUAGUGUUGUCAUAUCUGGAGUAAGUUCUGUAUAAAGGUUAGUGGCUUAUUAUUGUCAUGUCUGGAACAUAGUAGGUGCCGUAUAAAUGUGAGGGACUUGUUGUCGUGCCUGGAACGUAGUAGGUGCCAUAUAAAUGAGAGUGACUUAUUGUCGUGUCUGGAACGUAGUAGGUGUCGUAUAAAUGUGAGGGACGUAUUGUCAUGCCUGGAAUGUAGUAGGUGCCGUAUAAAUGUGAGGGACUUAUUGUCGUGCCUGGAACGUAGUAGGUGCCGUAUAAAUGAGAGUGACUUGUUGUCGUGCCUGGAACGUAGUAGGUGCCGUAUAAAUGAGAGUGACUUGUUGUCGUGCCUGGAACGUAGUAGGUGCCGUAUAAAUGAGAGUGACUUCUUGUCGUGCCUGGAACGUAGUAGGUGCCGUAUAAAUGAGAGUGACUUGUUGUCGUGCCUGGAACGUAGUAGGUGCCGUAUAAAUGAGAGUGACUUGUUGUCGUGCCUGGAACGUAGUAGGUGCCGUAUAAAUGAGAGUGACUUGUUGUCGUGCCUGGAACGUAGUAGGUGCCGUAUAAAUGAGAGUGACUUGUUGUCGUGCCUGGAACGUAGUAGGUGCCGUAUAAAUGUGAGGGACUUGUUGUCGUGCCUGGAACGUAGUAGGUGCCGUAUAAAUGAGAGUGACUUCUUGUCGUGCCUGGAACGUAGUAGGUGCCGUAUAAAUGAGAGUGACUGUUACUAUGUGAGCCCCCUCUACCCUUCUGCAAUAGUGAAGAGGGGAUGUCUUUUCCUAUAGUCACACUUGCUCUUAGAAAUUUGGCAAUAUUCAUCUCUAGUUGAUUUGUUGUCCAUUUGCACUGGGGUCAUCCUUGUGUUUAUGGCCCAGCUUACUCCCUGUUUUGUUUAGCACAGUAAUAAUUUGGCCAACGGGCAUCUACUUUGCUUGAAUUCUUUGAUACCUUUAAAAAAAAAAAGCUGUUAUACAUAUUAUGAUUUAUGUGAGUUCUUUAAAAAAAAAAAUCAGUGACCUCACUGGGGCAAAUGCAUAGAAAGUGGGAUCUCUGGGCUAAAAGGCACGGGUGUUUUAGUCACUUUAAUUUCAUGAUUCCAAAUUGCUUUCCAAAGUAGUUUUAUUAAUUUGCAGCUCUACCGACAAUGCACGAGUGUGCCUCUCUUUCUACUCCUCCUCCAACAUCGACCAUUCCCAUCUUUUGCCGCCUUUGCCAGUUUUCUGAGGGCUUUGGUUUGCUUUCCUCCUCUUAUUAGUGACCUGGAGCAUUCUUUCAGGUUGGUUAUUUUUAGAUAGACUCAAACUGAGACCAGGAGAAAACCCUUUGACUUUCAGAUAGCACCGUCUGUGCUUCUGCGCCCUGGGGACAAAGUUCCACCGGCCCUCUUUAGUUACACCUCUGAGUCAGAAGCUUGUUUUCUGAGUCUGGGGAAAUUGGAGUGGCUACAGGUGCAGGUGAGGAUCCUAAGAGUUACAGGAAGUGCCUUCUUCUGGAUCCUUGUUCUAGAUGAAGGCCCCGAGGCUCCGGAGCGUGGACACCGAGGUCUGGCUCCAGCAAGGGUGGUUUUUGGGAGAGAGGGGGAGGAGACAUCCUGUUUCUCCCUAUUUUGUCUCCCUGGGAUCUGUCCCGGGACAGGAGGCCUGCUGCUGGGGAGUGGGGGAGGGAGGCGAGCCUUCGGCCUCCCACCAGGGCUGGGGGAUGAGUCUGGCCAGCGGGCCUCCUAAGCUACGCCAGCUUCUCUGACCUUCCCGGUCAUGCCAGGAGGCCAGGGCAGCGUGCCAGGGCUGGAGGAGAGAAGGUGACUCACCUGGAGCCCUUCCUUUCCUUGCCUAAUCAUGGAGGGAGGGACUGGCGGCAGAAAAGAAAGGGUCUGAUCUUGUCAGAAUACCUCCCAUGGCCCUCUUCUCCUCUGCCGGCCCCUCUCCCCUUCCCCCCACUCUAGAACUUCUGGAGCUCUCCAGCUGCUUUCUUAGAUCUGGAGCUCCUGCUCUUAGAUCUCGGCUCGGAGCUGCCUCAGAAUCAUCCUGUCCAAGCCCCUCAUUUUACAGGGUCCCGGAAAAGUGAGCAGGCUUGAGCAUACGGGAAAUGAGUUGGGAGAGUUUUCCCUUUGGUUCUGGAAAAGAAGGCAGGUCAGGGUGGGGCUCAGGUAGAAUUCCCUAAGCUUUGCCUUUCAGUGUCCUUGUUCUCCCAUUCUUUUUGCCUCUAGGCCCUACAGGCCAGAGAUAAGCCUUUGCUUAUUUCUGGGAAGGAAUGGGAGUGGUUCCAAGGCUUCCUACCCUAAUGGCCUUUUCCACUCAGGAGGUGGAAGGCCCAGGUGCCCAUGUAACCAGGUGCCCAAUUACUCAUAUCCGGGUGCCCAUGUUUCCAGGUGCCCAUGUACCCAUGUAACCAGGUGCCCAUGUACCCAUGCAUCCAGUUGCCAGUUACCCAGGUGCUAAGUGCCUGGAAUGCAGGUACCCAGGCAGUGAGAUGGGGGCCACAGGAGCUGGGGGCACAGUGCAUUUCCAGCAGGAUUUCCGGAUGGGGGAGGGUCUCCAGCCCCCCAUCCCAAGGCAGAAAGUUCGGAUGCUUGGUACUUGAGGGGAUGCCGGCAGAUUCCUCCGGCUCCUCUGUCCGGCGGAUUGGGUGCUGUCGUCUCAGCGCUUUGGAAUGCUUCUGUUCCUAAUUUAACUCCAAACGAACCUCUGAUUUUUUUUUUUAAACAGGAAAUUUUCGCCAUUUCUUGUGCCAAAGCUCCAGGCACCUCUGGCAUUGGAGAGAGCCAGUGUGCAAGCCUGGAAUCAGGGGCUCAGGGCCCCCACUUGUGAUGGAAGGUGGGUGGAAGAUCAAAGGCUCCUAGACUCUAGAGGUCAUGGAGUCCAGUCCCUUUUCCCUGUAAUUUAGAUGAGGGCUGGAAAGUUAGAUGACUUGUCCAGGGUCACAGAGCUGGUAAAUGGAUGAGGCAGAUUUUAGGGCUUGCCCAUGGGGAGUAUCCCUGAGCAUUUCUCCCUCAGGAGGGAGGGUGCAGGGCUGUCUGAUGAGCAUCUCUGUCCCCCUCUCCCUGGGGUCCCCAUUCGACUCUUUCAGAGCCGUGGCUCCACCAGGCUGUGGGUAAUGGGCACAGUGCCCGGGCAGCACCGAGCCUUCUGGGUGGGGGUGAGCCCCAGGGUGAGAGCUGGGUCUCCCCACAGCCUGGGGAUCUGCUGUGACCUCUGCCCCUGCUCCGGGUAGUGUACCCACUGUGCUUUGCUCCCAAUGUCCCCUGGGCAGCCCUGCCCUCUGCUCCCUCCUAAUCUUUAUUUACAUUGAAAUGGUUCUGGAAAAUACCAGAUAUGCAAAGGCCUGGGCUUGGGGAGGGGGGUGGGGGGUGGGAAGGCAAGUAUUUUAAAAAUGCUGCAAAUCGCUGCAGCGUUUCCCAGAAACCACAAGCACGCGCUCCGCCUGCCAACAGGACUGGGGCUGCCCCUGCACCGAGGCGCUGCCUCCCCCAACCCACCUUAGGAUGGCUAACGGAGGGAAGGGGGCAGCCAGGGAAGGAGAGGCCUGGGAGAGCUGGGUGGGGAGGGGGAGGGGAAGACAGAGACAGAGAGGAGACAGCCCAGCACAGAGAGAUGGAGAGAGAGAGAGAG